rnacentral:lncRNA from 1 species
UCCAUGAGUGCCAUACUUCACAACCUGGCACCGCUAGAUGGAUCUAGAUUAUUGACUUUUAUUUACUUUUUAUUUAUCUAAUGAUGCUUAGUCUACAGAGUACGGUACCCUUAGAAAUCAUAAAUAGACACUUUAAAGAAUUAAAAGAUAAAUGAGUGAUAAAUAUCUUGUUAUAAUUAGUUUACUUGAGAUCAAAAAUAGAUUUUUAAAAUAAGAUGGAGUGGGGAAGAAGUUGGGAAAAAUGACCGUGUCCAAAUUUUAAGAUAGCUUGAGUGAUAAACUUGUAAAUUAUGCUAUGAUGUUUUGUAAAAAAUAACAGUGGUAGCCCAAUUGGGAAUAAAUUAUUCUAUCUUAACCAAGGUUUUCGGUUUGAGAUUUGGGAAUGCAGCUGCGUUAAAUACUUGUUGAAAGAGCUUUACCACCCCAGUGGUCCUAUUGGGCUCGAAUCUGGAUUAGUCAGGAUUCAAUGUGGUCUUCGGAUACCAAAUGAUUUAAUACACAAAAAAAAACAAUGGUAGCUAGUUUUAUAAAUUCUACAUGGUAAUUUGUGAACAACAUAGAAAAAAACAAAAAAACUAAAUAAUAAUAAUAAUAAUAGUAAUAAUAAUAAUAAUAAUAAUAAUAAUAAUUUACGUAUCUUGCUUAUUUGGAAGUCAACAUAAAUUGUAUAUUUGGAUGGACUAGAAACUGUGAUUCAGAAAUUCAAGGAGGCACGGUCAAAUUUGGACACCCUAAAGAAGCUGGAAGUGUCCAUUCUCCAUGGGUUGAUGCAACUGAAAUGAAGGAACAUCCUGAAUUUAGCAAGCGGAAGUUUGAUAGAAUAAUUUGAACUUCCCCCAUGCUGGCUUUCAUGGAAAGGAAGAAGACGACAAAGCUAUUCGUGAGCUGCCAGGUAAGUCCAUUGGACAUAUGUGUCAAUAUAGUGAGUUAAAAAUGGUUAUCAUAAGAGGGAACUUCAAGUGAUUCGUAUUUCUUAAUAAUUCAACUAGUUAAGCAUAUACUAAGGAGUUGUUUAUUUCUUAAUAAUUAAUAACCUAUAAUUCGGAAGUACAAUCCACUACAAUCUAUCAAUUGGUUAAUCCCAAACAUGUACUAAGGAGUUGUUUAUUUUUAUCUAAAGCCUGAAUUUUACUUAUUUUCAGACAUUGAUAGUUUUUAAUUUUUUUUUUCUAUUGCUUAUGUCUAAUUAAAAUAUGUUUAGGUGUGAAUAGAAAAAGUUAAAUAUUUUGAUUUUUAUCUGAAUGGUAAAACAUAUGAAUAGAGCUUUAAUAUUCUCUCUUAUUAUUACCCCUUUAAAUAAAUUUAUUUUCUAUUAUACAAAUUAUUCUUUAUUUUUUUAAUUAUGCUUUUUUUGUUAUAUGCCUGUAUUCAACUUUUUUUUUUUGUGAGUGAGAAUUUUAACAUAAUAAAGCGUUUAGGUGAGGGUGUUUUAUAAUGGUCUAUCUUUUUGUAUUUAUAUUUACUAUUCUUAAAAUAGAUCUUAUACUGAUUAUUCUCAUUCUCCGUAAUUUAUUGUACCGAAUGUUCUAAAACCUACCUAGCAUUAACGAGUGAAAUAGAAAUUUCGGGAAGCCAAGAAAGUUUGUGUGCACUGAAUGCCUCUACUUUGUAAGUUCAAUUGAUCUCCUCUUAGUUGAAGUAGAUGAUAGUAAAUAGUAUCUGAGUUUCAUUUCAGAUUCCAAAAACAAUCCUCCAUUUGAAUAGUUAAGUAGAGAUCCGCAUUGCUUUCUUUUUCUUUAGAGGAAUGGCUGACUCCUUUGAUCAUGAAACUAUGUCACGGCUAUCACAAAAACCCGAGUAAUUCUAUUCAUAGAACCAAAAUAGAGUUGAGUUGGUGCUCCUUCAUUUUGACUGAUUUAUUAUGAUGCAUAACAACAAAUGAUGAGAUGGUAUCUGAUAUGAUAAUGAGAAUUAGUCGUCAACGAGAAAAUUAAUUUCGCAAGAACACGGUUGGUCGCAGAACUCUCCUAGUCCUUGGAAGUAAUUUAAAGGAAAGGUGCAUCAAUUGCUUUGUGUAGCGUGCUUUAUGGUUAGAGCUUUGUGCUCUUGGUCUUCGGAGUUUACUUAUUCUUGAUUCUAUAGACCUGCAGCCAACAUACAACAGGGUUUGAUUUUCUUUAUUUUUCGCUCUCUUUGGCCCCCUUUUUUUCAUUCCUCGAUGGCUCUUUGGUUAUAAAUUAUGUCCCAAAAGACAAGUCGUCUCUGGUCUUCAGGAAGACAAGUGGAAAUUGUAAAUAGUUUUGAUGACUUUUUUGCAGUGUAGGACCCAAUAAAAAAGUUGAACACGCUUUUGUUGUUUUUCACUUUUAUGAAGGAAUGAGAAUGAUCUGUUUUCAAAAGAAUUUAAGUACGUUGCAAAACGGUGCCAUCAACAAGUUUUUUAUUUUUUAAAAAUUUUUGAAAAAUAAAAGACACCGUGAUUAUGUAGUUUCUCAUUUCUUCCUAAUUUUGGCAGUAAACAAACAGUAAUAACAAAUAUUGAUUAAGCAAAUUAGUUUUCGGGAAUAUUUGAAGGAGAGAUUCCAUAGGAAAUAAAGGUUAGUCCAAUUUUGCAAAAGAUUCUAUGCUCCGUAAAAAGAGAGCAUCUAUAUAUAAGGAUGUGGUCAAGUGUUGGCCAUCACGCGUAUUAGAGUAUGCGAAUAGCGUGUGCGGCGAGAACUCUUAGGAAGGCGCUUGGCACCACAGCAAAGCUCCCCUAAUGAAUGCUCUCCAGUCACAAGCACCAGAUUAAGCUCGUCUACAAAUAUCUGGCUGCAAAAAUAAACAAACCAACUUUCGUAAAAUAAAUAUUAAAAUAAACUAGAAUGAGCUCAAUUGCCGACAAAUUCCAGGUUGCUUAGGUCAAAAUAAACAAUGACCAAACACUGUAUGCAAAACCAUCACUCUGCUUUGUAAAUUAGACCUGCUGGUGUCAUAUGGCGGAGGCUGCGGUGAAAUUUGCUCUAGAGACCUUGGGUCCUUUGCUUGUCGAAGAAAUCAGAUUGUUGGGGGGUGUUAGAAAAGAAGUUCAAAGCAUCAAAAGCGAACUGGAAAGUCUCAGAUCUUUCCUCAAAGACGCAGAUGCAAGGGCAGCAGUCGAGGAAUUAGAAGGAGGCGGUGAGGAAAGCGUCAGAACUUGGGUGAAACAACUGAGGGAUGAGGCUUAUCGCAUUGAAGAUUUCAUCGAUGAGUACGCACUCAUGGUGGCAAAACUCCCCCAUGAGAGUGGCCUCGUUGGUGUUCUCCAUAGAAUUAGUCGUUUCAUAAAGAAGCUGAGGCGGCGGCGUGGAGUUGCUACUGAGAUUCAAGAUAUCGAAUCAGCGCUUGCUGAUAUAAAGCGAAGGGGAGAAAGCUAUCGAUUCAGAUCUAUUGAUGAACCAUCGAGAAGUGGAACCAGAAAUGUUAUCCCACAUGACUCUCCAGUUCGUUCCUUUUUCGUUGAAGAUGAUGAAGUUGUGGGCAUCGAAUCCAUUAAAGAUAAAUUGAUUGAUUUGAUGGUGAACGGAAGAUCCAAAAGUUCAGUGGUUGCUGUGGUGGGUGAAGGAGGACUAGGCAAGACCACUCUUGCCGGGAAACUUUUUAACAAUGAAGGUUUAAAAACUCACUUCAGUUGCCGGGCUUGGGUUACCGUUGGGAAAGAAUACAACAAAAAUGAUUUGUUGAGGACAAUUAUAAAGGAGUUUCACCGUUUAUCAAAACAUGGAAGAGAUGGACCUGAUCGCCACGCUGAGGGACCACUUGAAGGACAAAAGUUACAUGGUUGUGCUCGACGAUGUUUGGAAGAUUGAUUUUUGGAGAGACGUGGAGCAUGCUUUACUUGAUAACAAGAAGUGCAGCAGGAUAAUUGUCACAACACGGCACAUGAAUGUCGCUAAGUUUUGCAAAUCAUCUUCCUCUGUUCGUAUCCAUGAGCUUGAAACUUUGCCUCCGGAUGAAGCGUGGAAACUUUUUUGUAGAAAGGCGUUCGGACCAAGCUCCGGAGGUUGUUGUCCUUCAGAGUUGAAGGAGUUCUUUAUCGUGGCCCUAGGUGGACUUCUUUCAACCAAGAACAGGAUUGUAUCUGAAUGGAAGAAAUUAUUUGAUAGGUUGGGCUCAAUGUUAGGAAGUGAUCCCCAUCUAAAAGAUUGCAACAGAGUUUUAUCUGAAGGGUAUUAUGAUCUUCCUCACCACCUCAAAUCAUGUCUUCUGUACUUUGGCUUAUUUCCAGAGAGCUGCAAAAUUAACCGUGGUAGACUUAUCCGUUUGUAGAUAGCUGAGGGCUUUGUCCAACACAGAAAACGCCUCACAUCUGAACAGGUUGCAGCCGAAUACUUGGAUGAGCUCAUUGACAGAAGCUUGGUUCAAGUUUCAAACAGAGAGAUCCCUGGACGAGCUAUAAUCUGCCAAGUUCAUGAUCUUAUGCACGAGAUCAUCAUCAGAAAAACUGAAGAAUUGGGCUUCGGUCGUCUGCUGAACGGAGAGGACUCGAGUCAUUGCAGUAAAACUCGACGCAUUACUAUACAGAGAAGUAUUGAUGAUGGUGCUUUAGAGAGCAUCAAGGACUGGAAGGUCCGUUCUGUUAUCCUUUUCAAUGUAGAUAAGCUGCCCGACUCUUUCAUGAAAUCAUGUAUUGCCAAUUUCAAGCUCAUGAAAGUACUAGAUCUGGAAGAUUCUCCCAUAAAUUACCUUCCUGAAGGAGUGGGAAACUUAUUCAAUUUACACCUCUUGAAUGCGAGAAACACAAAAUUAAAAAUAAUUCCCAAGUCCAUUGGAAAUCUUCUCAGUUUAGAGAUUUUGGUUUUGGCACGCACUUUCGUGAGUGAACUUCCAGAAGAGAUCAGGAAUCUUAAAAAGUUGCGUUCUCUAAUUGUUUUUCACUACAAGUAUAUCACAGGUUCUAUAAUACCAACAGAAGUAGCAGCCAAAAUACACCGGGGCUUUGGGUCUCUAAGAGGUCUGCUGGUGUUGUCUACUAUAGAAGCUGACUCUCAAGUGCUCAAAGAGCUUAUGAUGCUAAGGCAGUUAAGAAUGUUGAGCAUUAGACCCCAGAAUGGAAAUGGCAGGGAUCUCUGUGCUUUGAUUGCAAAUUUGGAAAACGUAGAGACUUUAGGAGUACUAAUGAAAAGCAAAGAAGAAAUUCUUGACUUGCAAUCUUUGAGUAGUCCUCCUCAACAUCUGCAGUAUCUCAGCUUGAGAGGGAAUAUGAAGAAACUGCCGGACUGGAUUUUAAAACUUAAAAAUCUAAUCGGAUUGCGUUUGAUCUUGUCGGGAUUGACUGAGGAUCCAAUCAGUAUCCUUCAAGCCUUGCCUAACUUAUUGGAACUUAUGCUCCAUGGGGGGUAUGACUACGAGCUUUUUCACUUUGAAGCAGGUUGGUUUCCAAAACUCCGAAAGUUGGUUCUUUUGAACUUCGAGGCUGUGAAAUUGGUUAUAAUAGAGAAAGGUGCGAUGCCUGAUAUUAGAGAACUGUGGAUUGGGCCUUGCCCCCUGUUGAUGGAGAUUCCUAUUGGAAUUGAGCAUCUUAGAAACCUUGAGCUACUUACAUUUCAUGAUAUGUCUAAACAAGUUUGUUGCAUGACAAAGAACGAGAAGUGGGAGGUUACUGAGCAUAUACCAGAUGUCCGUGUCACUUAUAUUGAUGCGGGGCAACUGUUUUAUUGUCCAAAAAAAGUUCUUUCAUCUCUUUCCUGUAGAUUUCGAGCAAUCUGCUAAAGAAGAGGACUCAAGUAAGGAGCAGUCAUGCACAUCUAUAAAAUAACUAAACAGGUGUGCCUAUUUGUAUUAUUUUCUAAUUACUUUAAAAAAAAUUAUUUUCUUUUUUUUCUUUUUAAUUUGACAGACAAUAUAAUCAUAUAUAAUUCAAGAAAAUUCACCCAAAAAAAACUCCUUUUUCCAUGUAAUUUGAGUAUGAUAAGUAAAUAAAUAAUUGCAGUAGGUCAGUAAAUCUUUUUCUAGUCAAGUCUAUUGUUAAUUAGAAUCAUAAUAAUUAGGUAUUAAUGUUUUUAUAGUAAUUUUCCUUAUAUUUUUUGUUACCAUGAACAGUAUAUAUACCUUCCUUACAGUGAAUACAUUGAUGAGUUCAUCGGUCAUAUACUGGAUCAGACUGUGGUAGUAAUGCUACUAUUGACAUGCUUUGAGUUUGAGUAAUUAUUAUCAGUGUUAUUAUGUAACGCAUGCUUAUGUGAGUGGUUGCAGUUGCUGCUGUCAAUGUAAAUGUAUUCUUUUAUAUAUCUAAGACUAAGACUAUAAUUUUAAAAAUGUAAAUGUAUGCUUAUGUGAGUGGUUAAUUUGUUUGGGAUGAUGCAUUUGCCUUAAUUUUAAUCUGUAGCUUAUUGUCUGCUUCAUAACAACUUACUAAAAAAUUGUAUCACAUGCAUUACCGUAUUAUCAAGCUUAAUUUCCUCUUCAUUUGCAUAAUUGUGCUUAUUAUAUUGGGAUUAUUCUACAAUAGUUAUUUAUUUUAUUUAAGAAGUGAACUGAAAAUGCAUGUGAAAUCGUUUUUUUACAAAAUUAGAUGCACGUUUUGGAUUGUGGUUAAUUAUAAUUUUCAAACAAUCGCUUAUUUUAAAAAAAAAAAUGUACUCAAUUAUAUUUGAGUUGUCAAAUUAUUUUAAUUAAACAUAUACAACCGAUUUGGGUUGUCUUUUUUAACUCAAUACACUAACAGUCAUCAAACAAUUGAUUAUCAAACAUAAUAUGAGAAUAAAAUCCAUCACCAUUGCAGACUUAUUGUAACACAAAGAAAGUCUAUAAUUGGGCUUUGGAUUGGGCAAUAAAAACCCACUAAGCGAUAGCAUUCUUCUAUUCCUAGGGAAAGUGAAAAAAGCGGGAGUUGUAAGUGUUAAAUGGAAAUGGAUACAUGCCGAACUUACAAUUAAAUAAAAGAGAAAUUUUUAUAUAAAAGAAAGCGUCGGUGACUCUAAAGUUAGUCGGUGACUCUAAAGUUACAAUCAAAUGAAUGCGAAACUUCAUAAAAAAGAAAAAAAAAAAGUGUAGGUGAUUCUAAAGUUGAAAACUGCACAUGUUUGUGAUUUAAUUAGCUUUUUUGCUCUUAAAAUUACUUUAAAUUGCUCAAGAAAUGGUCAUGGGAAGGCUUACUCAUUAUAAUCCAUAAAUUGAUUAAACUGAUUAAGGAAGCAUGAACCAGCAAUUAGAUCAAAGUGUUGAAUAGUUCUUGCGUGAAAUAAAGAGAAAGAUUGCUAGAAAUUACAUUUUAUUUAUUUUCUGGUGUCACGGGUACAGGGACGUAGCCAGGAUUUUGAUUGAGCCGGGGCAUAUUUAAAAUCAAACAUGACUCGAAUGCGCGAUUGCUCGUAUCAUAAGUCCCCAUUUGGGAAAAUGUAUUGUGGGCCCUAUAAACUCCAAAUGGGAGCUUGCCACAUGUAUAAUUGUGCUAUUUAUAGAGUGCGUCUGUAUGCAUCUAAUUGAAACCCCUAUUUAAAGUAUAAUACAUUUUUAAAAAUUUAGAUAGCAAUAUAUAACAUUACAACUAUAAUAUUCAUUGAUAAUAAAUUUACUUAUUACAAUGGUUCUCCGUGAAAACUCCUCAAUGAGAUUUUAUGAGUUGAAAAUAAUGCAUUAUCACUAUAAGCAAAAAUAUUUUUUUCAAUAUACAAGACUAGGUUAUUACUUAAUUUGCUCUUAAAAUCUUUUAAUAAUAACAAAAAUAUUCAUAUAUUGCAACACACAAAACAAAUAUGAAAUGCAUGAUAAAAUUAUAAAUUUUAAAACUAGACAAAAGAUUAAUUAGAAAAUUAAAAAUUAGACUUAGGUAGACUUACAACUUAUGGUUCAGUGUUGAAAGACUAAAUAAUUGAUUUUACUUGAAUAAAAAAUAAAAAGAUUAAAGACCGGUCCAUUAACCAUUAUACUAACAUUUUGUUAUGAUUGUUUUUUAUUUUAAUAUUUGUUCUUGUGUGUUUAAUCAAGUUUCAUGAAAUGUUAAUAACUAAUUAAAUUAUUUAUAAUUAGAAAUUUAAACUAGGGAUAAUAUGAAAUAUUUUAAAAUUACUGGAGUCAAUUUUAAAUUUUACAAUUCAACUGGGGUAUUUUUCAUAAAUAACAAAAAAACUACAAUUUUUUAGUAUCAUUAUAAAAAAAAUUUUAAAGCCAGCUGGGGCCGGUGCCCCACCUCGUCCCAUGCUGGCUCCGUCCCUGCACGGGUAGAUGAAAGCCACAAACAAUGUUAAGUCCCUUCACUGUAAAAGCAUUUUCCUGCACCUUUUUCUUGGGAAAUUUACGAAAAUAACCAUUAUUAUUUUAUUAUUUUUGCAAUUAACCCUCUCAACUUUUUUCUAUCAACAUUAGCCAAACACAAGCCUUUCUUCCCAAAUUACCCUUCUUUGCGUAACAAAACCAACAUCGUUUCUCCCAUAUCGCCAAACCAAAAGCAGCUUUUCGCUCUUGAUUCAUCAGUCAACGGCGACCGCAAAAGACAACGAUAAAAGUGAUAUCCGAUCAUAAUUUAUCCGGAUCCAACACAAAUCGACAUCCGAAUCCAACACAAAUCGACAUCCGAAUCCAACACAAAUCGACAUCACUUAGUGGUAUGAGUUAUUUUCUGAACAACUGGGCUAAAUCUGGAUCUGGCGACAGGCUGCCUGUCGCAGCAAAACUUGGUGCGACAGGCAACCUGUCGCACCAAGCAAGGUGCGACAGGCACCCUGUCGCACCAAGAUUCGGGCGACAGGUUGCCUGUCGCACCCACCAUGAAAUACAUCAUUAAAACUGUAUUAUUUUAAUAUGGCUGAAAUAAUUUUUUUUUUAUAAUUUCAGGCUUAAUGGAUUCAGUUGUACUUGAAUUGUGUUACGAUGGUUGGUGGGAGACAUUAGAGAAUAGCCGUAUGGAGUACGUGAAUGGUAAAAAUCGAGCAUUUUUUGUUGGAAAAAAUUAUCUGUUUGAUCAGUUAUUGGCAAGAGUAUACGAGGUGUUACAAAUAAACCCUAAUGACUAUAGUAUCACCGUGAAGACAACUUUGAGGUCUAGUAACACAUUAUAUCGUAUAUGUGCAAUGCCCAUGGAUAUAUGCGAUGAUGAAAUGGUGAGGGUUGUGUUGCAUAUGGCAUCGGACGUAGCUAAUUUUGGAUGCAUUCCUAUAUUCGUGACCACAUCACCUCGAGUUCCGAGCGAAGGUAUUGAGCCACAUGUCGAUACAGAAACUUCGUUUAGAGCAAAUAUGUCUGGCCCCGAUAAUGAUGAAGAGGUGUUGCCAAGGACAAUAUCGUUGCAGCAAUAUUACUCUCCAAUCCACGACAAUUAUGACAACAUUGAUGAUAAUGGCGUUACGUUACAGGAUGUUGGAGCAACAAUAUUUUCAAUAACAACGUCGUUGGAGCAACGAUAUUCUCCGUAUCACAACAAUGUUUUUCGGGACAAUGAUGAUUUUCAUAAUGAGACAGAGGGGGAUAAUGUUUGUGCAGAACCUUCUAAUACUAUGAGGGGGGGCACUCGUUUCAAUAAUGAUGGUGAUGAUGGAGGAGCCGGUCCUUCAAAUGUUCCGUCGUUUCAGCAUGAGGAUGAGUGUGAAGACAAUACUCAUGUGAAUAACAGAGGCAAUAGACCUAUUCCUUCUAUGGUUCGAUCGAGAAGGCGAAUUGACCCCCUUACAAGUGUUGCUCCAACUUUGCCUUCGAAUAUGGUUGCUCCAAGCUUUGUUAGCAGUUGUGAUUCAGAUGAUAUCAGUGUGGGUAAGCUAUUUGCUGAGAAAAAUGAGUUUAUAUUACAACUACGCAAGGUUGCCUUUAGAGAUAAGUUUGAUUUCAAGAUUGCACGGUCUACUACGACACGUUUCGAGGCUCACUGUUGUUCAGAAUCAUGUAAAUGGCGUAUUCGAGCAACUAGAUGUUCGAACGAGUAAAAUAUUCCGUGGGUGAUGAAGAGAAUUGACAAUGUACACACUUGUCAUAAUGAGGUAUUGGUUGAUGGACGUCAUCAAGUCAGGAGCCAGGUUGUCGGUCAUAUUAUCGCAGAAAAAUAUAUUCAAGACAAGAGGAUUUAUACUCCGAAUGACAUAAGAGCAAAUAUGCAACAGGAAUACGGUGUUCAGUUAACAUACCAGCAGGCAUAUCGGGCGAGAGAAGUUGGUCUUGAAAUAGUUCGAGGCAACCCUGCAGAGUCAUACAACUUGCUCCCUAAAUACUCUCACGUACUAACUACAGCGAAUGAGGGUACAGUCACUCACCUCGAGCAGGAUGGAGAUGGUAAUUUCUUGUACUAUUUUGUAGCACUCGGAUAUUCCAUCAAGGGUUUUAUGCAGUACAUUCGGCCUGUCAUUGCUGUAGAUGGUACUCAUCUUAAGGGAUUAUAUCGUGGAAGCAUGUUCGUGGCAACAUGUCUUGAUGGUAACAAUCAAUUGUAUCCGUUAGCCAUUGGGAUCAUGGAUUCAGAAAACAACGAUGCUUGGGAAUGGUUUAUGAUGAAGUUACACGGAGUGAUUGGCGAUAGACCUGAGUUGGUAAUUAUCUCUGAUCGAUGCACUGCCAUAAGGAGAGCCGUUCUUAAAGUUUUUCACAAUGCAACUCAUGGCGUUUGUUUUUACCACGUCAAAGGUAACAUUAAGUCUCAGUUUAGAAUGUCCAAAGCUCUUUGGGAUCAAUUUGAGCCUGCCUUUAUUAAUGCAGCAAAAGCAUAUGGCCACGAGGAAUUUAAGAGACAACUUGAAGGGUUGUGGAUGAUCCACUCGGGUGCGGCUGAUUACCUAGAAAAUAAUGUCGAUACGUGUAAUUGGGCAAGGUCGCAGUUUGAAGGUAGGAGGUACAGCAUUCUUACCACGAACAUCGCGGAGAGUGUUAAUGCGUUCAUGAGGGAACCUCGAAAAUUUCAUGUGACUCAUCUUGUUGAUCACUUUAGGAAAACAUUGCAGCAAUGGUUUUAUGAUAGGAAAAUUGUGGCUGAAUCAAUGACUACUCGGCUAACAACAUGGGCGGAUGGAAUAGUCACUGAGAGGAGAACUAUAGCUGAAAGAAUGAUAGUUCGACCGGUGUCUCCGCAUCGCUUUCAAGUUAUAGGGGGUGGGCUUAAGGAAUGGUUAGUUGACUUGCAAAAGAGAACUUGCUCCUGCAGAGUGUUCCAGCUUGAUCAGCUUGUGUGUGCUCAUGCAAUUGCGGCGUGUCUAACACACCGGGUGGAUUUUAUUAACCUUUGCUCGGACUUUUACACUACAGAAUCGUUGGCGAUGGCUUAUGCACAACCAAUAGAGCUAGUUGGUGAUGUGGCUGAUUGGGAAAUUCCAGAUGAAAUUCAGGAAAUGCAUGUAUACCCACCAGUUGAGGCACCACCACCUGGCCGUCGUAAAGAGCUCAGAAUACCCUCGGCUGGCGAGGACGUUGACCGGCGGACUGUAAGAUGCGGUCGGUGUCAUGAACUAUGCCAUAAUCGUAAGAGAUGUAAGAAUCCCAUUGCGUCGACUCGAAGUUAGUUGUAUUUUGUGUGUUAUGAGUUUGUUAAAACUAUUAUUGUUUUUGUGUUCGUUGGUUAAAACUGUUACUGUUUUUUUUGUAUUGUACACUUACAUUUCAUAAAACUUUAUUUAAAGUUUAAAAUGUGAGGCAUUAAAAUUAUAUAAACUUAAGUGUGCGAAGUAAAAAAAAAUUCAAAUUUCAACAUUUAAAUUACUACAUAGGUUUACAAUUGAAUAUCGUCAUUAAAUAUAUCAACCGCAAUCUUCUUUCUAAAGUACUCGACAUGACUAGCGUUAAAGUCCAAUCUAAGCCCGAACAUUAAAUACAUCGUAACCAUCAAUACAAAAACACCGCAAUCGCCAGUUCCGGGCUCUUGUUGUGGCGCGCUCUUAACUGCGAUAAUUUUCCACGGGUCUUCACUCUGCAACUCCGGUCGGAUAUUGUAGAAGCCAACAUAUUCCAACCAUCGAGGGAAUAUAACUUCAAGUGGCUUGAAUUUCAACUUGUACCUUUUGUCGUCGCGAUUUGUGAGUAAUGAGUCAUAAAUCCAGACUUUGUUUUUCCGAAAGUCAACUCGUGCUAGUACCCAAUGCGCGCCGUCGAAGUUAACAGGGAUGAGUAGCUGCAUAUAACAAUUGAAAAACAUGUUCGUUAUGUAUGAAAUUAAAAUACAACAAAGAAAAAGCAACAACUUGAAUAUUUUCAUUAUAUAGCAUGUGAAAUGUAAUAAAAUACAUACCAUAUCGACAUCCGUCAUUGAUUUAGACAUUGUGUGCUGUCGGCCACAAAGAUAACUAUUCAAGCGGUCGUCGAAUACCAUUGAAUCGACUGCACAAUUCCCGUUAUUCCAGAACUGAUUCAAGAACACCUAAUACAUAGAUAACCAAGAAAUGCAUAAAUUAAUAAAACUUAAAUUUUUACAUCCACAUAAAAUUUAUAAGUUUUGUCGGCACGUUACCCAAAAAAAUGUGUCAGUAUGUGUGACACGUUGGAGUAAGGCAUUUGGAUACUGCCGUUGCUUCUCGCUAAUCAAGCGGAGAUACUCGUGAAUAUGCUGUAGAGAAACAGAAAUAUUACGAGUUUUUAAAAACAAAUUUAUACACAAAUCCACAACAGUAUACACCACGAGGAAAUUAUAAAUACCUCAUCGCCUAACCAUCCCAUCGAAGCUGUCCCCAAAAUUAUUUGAAAGAAUGACCGCGGGUGCUGGACUCUCCGGCGGACUCUGCUAUCACCAGUAAACCAUCGAUCAAACUCAGCAAACAGACUAGAGUCCUCCAAUCCUCUCAGUGGAUUUACAUCCACACUCGUACUCAUGUCAAUCGCAUGCUCUAUGAUUUGGGGUCGAGGUAAAGGCCGGACGUUCUGUCCUCGCCUGAUCGGAGGAAUCAUGUAAGGACUGUUAUAAACAUACGACGGUAUGUACGCGCGGCCGAACUUACUAACGCCCGGAGGCACCUCUGUGAACACCUGCACGCUCUCCCCACUUACAUCCCCGUAGAAACUAUACAAUGACGUGGGCGUAGACAAAUUUUCAUUGCCCACGUCAGUAUACACUCCAACGUCAUCCGGGGCCUGUACAUUCGCCAAAAAGAACAUAUUAAAUAACUAUCAAAUUAAAAGUUAAACGAACAUUAUUAUUAAAUUUAAAUUAGCUUACCGCAUACGAGCGUGCAGUGGGAGAAUCCUUAUUUGGACGUUUAGAAAAUGUGUCGAUGAAGCCAACAACGGUUUCUUUAAAAUCUUUUAAUUCUGACUUUAUUUCAUACACGUUACGAUCAAUCUUAUCCAGCCGUCGUCGUACGUAAUCAUUAAACUGCUUUGUCCUCGACUAUUACAAAAGAAAAAAAUAAAACUUUAGAAUAACAAUAAAAAAUUAAUAAUUUAUAAAAAAAAAUAUCGUAUAUUAUUUCUAACCUCAUAAUCCCGUGCGUCAUCAGAGUUGUCUGUUUGCUGCUGGUGGUCAUCAACAGCCACCUCAUCCUCAAAAGUGUCAUGCCCCACCUCAUCCGCAAAAGUGUCAUGACGCUGCUCUGGUAUUGGGUUUGGUAUGUCGUCAUGAUCGUCAUGCUCGUCUGAUUGCCUUGUAACCGACGGCAUCACGUUGAUUGAGGGUUGGUGCUGUAUAAAGUAUCAUUUAAAAUUAGUAAAUGAAAAGUCAAAAAUUUCGAUUAACAAAUUUUUAGUGCUUAGAGUAUACCGACCUUAUGAACCCAGUCUGGAAUGCUUGGCAAGUAAUCCUUCACAGAGAGCCAAUAAUUUUUGCUACUCUCCUUUGAAUUUGGCUCAAGGGUUUGUAAAACGUCCCCCUUCCAUAAAUUCAAUUUAAAAUUUUAAGUAAGUAUACAUAACUUAAAUUUAGUAAAGUUUAAAAAAUAAGUAAUACAUAUUACUUACAAGACGAGAUUCGUCGUUGAAGAACGAAUAAACCUCCGCAAAGUUGAUUCUCGACGACGCCAUGGGCUUCCAUUGCAGAAUGCGGGGAAUCUUAUUCUUCGUUUUGACGACCCAUGUUGAUGGCAACCCUCUGAUUGCUUCGUAAAUCCAAGCCUACAACAACCAAAGUGAAAAAUCAAAUAAAACAACUAUCAAAUAUUUAAUACUAUAAAACUUAUUAAUAAACAAAAAAAAUAGCACCUGAACCCCAGACGUAAAGCCGUAAAGAUUGUAUUUUUCAAUAUUAUGAUCUGGAUUUUUCAACCGAGUCUUCUUAUAUUUCUCGUCUUUCUCGAACAGUGCAUUGUCAAGACUCUCGUAAAUCAUUUCCCACGACAAUAGACCCCAUGGACGCUUUCGGAAGUACUGUAUAUCAUCAACUUGGUCAAGCCAAUCGAAAUUAAUUUGACAGUGAUUUUUUCUUGCAUUUAGUACUCUGUCCGCAAAAUAAAACAGCGCAAUCUUUAAUGCGUCCAUAUCGUUCAUUUCCUCGAAUUUCAACUCCUUAAAUACUGCAUCGAAUUGCUUCACAUUAAUCUUACGAUGCACACCACCAAAAUACGUAUUCCGUAGCCUCUGCUCCAUUUCAUCAUUUUUUUGAUUGGUAUCCACACCAAAUGAAAGUCCAGUAACCAAGCACCAUUCGACAAUUGACAAGCGAAUCACAUGCUUACCAAUUUGAAACCAUAACUGAUCCUCACGGCUAUCUUCUUCAUGGGCCACUUGCCGCAGUAGAAGAUUGUGCAAAAUUACCCCACUAAAUGGAAAACUUCGACACUCCAAGAAAUGCCCAAAUAUAUCCUUUUUGAACAUACGCAACUGCCGGUUUGUUAAUUUUUCCUCGAUGGCUUUAACGACCGAAGAUAACAUACACAUGCUCGAAAUUCGACCAGGAAAAUGAUCAGCAUAACGAAAAUACAUCUUGCCUACUUCAAUAUCCGGUGAUUCUGAUUUCGCCAUGUAUCGGUAAUAUUUAUAAAAUUAUUACAUUACAUUUACAGAAAAAAAAAUUAACUCCUUACAAAAAAAAAAUUUAAUUUUUGGUGCGACGGGCAAGCCUGUCGCACCAGCUUUGGUGCGACAGGCGCGCGCCUGUCGCACCAGAUUUGGUGCAACAGCGUGCCGCGCAUGGCCGCGCGCUGCUGCCCAGCGAUGGGCGCGCGCGCGCGCCCUGCUCCCCUCCCUCCCCACCCGCAAAAUUAAGCACAAUCACUCCAAAAUCGAAAACAAUACUCUCAAACACCACCAACCACCACAAACAUCAUCACCACCACUAUUAAUCUCAAGCUAUAACUAUUAUUAUUCUAAAAUCUCAUUUUAAAUUAAUGAAAAUAAGAAAAAUGACUAACCUAGAUUUUGUUGAAGGUUGUAGAUUGUAGAUCGGAUGCCGGUGAGAGAUGGAGCCGCCGCCGACGAGGGUUGAUGUCGCCGCCGAUGAUGGGAGUUGGAUCAGUUUGGGAGAGAUGAGUGAAAGGGAGUGUUGGGGGAGAGAUGAGGGAGGGGUAUUUUGGUCUCAAAUGUUGUUUUAUGACUAAUAUUGAUAGAAAUAUUUUUGGGGAGUUAAGAUGAAAAAAAGGGAAAUUUUUUUGGUUAUUACUGUAAAUUUCCCCUUUUUCUUCGGCUUUAUGAUAUUCAAUGCCCAUAGUCCCUAGUCCCUACCCCUGUAUCUUUAUUAAUUAUUGGUUAAGAAGCUUGCGGCCUUAAAUGAUCAGAUAUAUUUAUUUUUUUGUCUGUGUUAUAAGAAAUCUUAUUUUCCAUUAUCACAGUUUCGUAUUAAGUAUCACAAUGGUUUAUUGUCCGACUUAAAACAUGAUUAUUAAUAUAGAUUUAAGAAUAAAGAUUAGAGUUAAGGCAACCUAUAUAAGAAAUAAAAUAAAGAAAUCAUUUAAAGAAAUUGUAACCGCUGCUCAUCAAUAAAAACCCAUUUCGGCUGGAAGAAUUUCCGUAGAAAUACAGAUGGUAUUUGAUUUGAAGUAGAAAUGUAAACUUUUUUUUUUUAAUGAAAAUUGGAAAAGUAAACUUAAUUAAGGAAACUAAUAAAUAAGGAAACACAAAUCCUACAAUAAAUAAAUAAGGAAACACAAAGGACCAUAUAUACAUAGGCCGGCCCGGGCCCUUUGACAUGACAACUGACGACCCUCCAAUAAUUUCAAUUUUUAGUAUCGUUCCCAAAACACCCUUCCAAACUUUUCCUGCAUUAAAAGUCAUGAAGAUAAUUUAUUAAUUUAAUCAAACAGUAAAGGUAAUUAUGUCAUUGUAUAUUUGUGGGUCAAGUCCAUCUUGAUCAUCUCCCAUCCAAACGUACAACAAACAUUUCACUAUUUCAGUACCUUAAUCUCACUGUCAAGUGCUCAACUCUCUCUGUAUUAAACACACCGACCCUUGAAUCUCGAUGGCAAAAGUAGUAGUGGGUAUGGCUGCUAAAGGAGAACAGAAAAAAGAAAUGAGUUUUACAGAAAAAGAUGAAAAAGAAGAAGAGAAAUGGAUCAUGCAUUAUUCAUCAAAGCAUCAAAUACUGUUGGUGGGUGAAGGAGAUUUCUCGUUUUCUUUUGCUUUAUUGCAGAAAUUUGGCUCUGCUUCUAACAUCUGCGCUUCUUCUCUUGAUUCCUAUGGUAAUUCAUUCAUUUCUCUAAUCUCUUUCUCUUCUCCUACAUGUUUUUUUUUUCAAGAUUUUUUUAUAUCAUAUGAUAUAGCAUAAAUUACCCUGUUUAUAAAUCUUUAUCCUCAGUUUGAUGUGUUAAGUUACCACUUAAUUUGAUGUGUAACUGUAAAGAAAUUAUCAAUUUUACAGAAAAAUGGUAAAAUGACUAGGAAAACGUAUAAUUAACGUCUCUGUUUUUUUUUUUUAAUUGGAUUUCAUAUGAUGUGAGGCCAAAAUCACCCUGUUUAUAAAUCUUUGUCUUCAAUUUGAAGUGUUUUGACCUCAAAACUGGAACUAUUAAAUAAGAGUCAACAUUAGCACAAAAGUUAAAUGUAACUGUCCGGUCCCUUCUUUAUAAGGUGGAUAACUGAAUAUGAUAUGAAUUAAGAGGCGAAGUUAGGAAUUUUUUUUAAGCUGGGUUACAUCUUUUUUUUUUCAAGUUAAAGAUAAAAUAAAGAACCUUACGGUGAAGCUAUUAAAUUAAACCAUAAAAUUAAAUUAAUAUUGUUUGUGUUAAAAUUUUUUUUGUGAAUUAAGUUUGUUUAACAAUAAAAAUUGUCAACUUUAAAGCGGUGACUACAGUACGCUACGGCUACCAUACUUCACAACCUGCCACAGUUACAUGGUUCUUGUUUAUUGACUUUUAAUUAUCAGAUGAUGCUUAGUCUAUGAAUUACGGUACCCUUAGACAUCAUAGACAGACCCCCACUUUACAUAAUUGAAGGCUAAAUGAGUGAUAAAUAUCUUGUCAUCACUGGUUUACUUGAGACCGAAAAUAGAUUUCUAAAAUAAGAUUGAGUGGGAAAGAAGUUGGAACAAAUGACAGUAGCCAUAUAUAUAUAUAUAUUUUUAAAAAGAGUGAUAAACAUGUAAAUAAUACUGCGGUCGUUUUGUAUAAUAUAACAGUGAUAGCUAGCUUCAUAAAUACUGCAUGGUAAUUUUAUGAACAACGUAAUAAAGAAACUAGAAAUUUUGCCAAAUUUUGGCCGCGCUAUAGCCUAGCUUCGCCCUUGCAUGAAUUCAAUUCGAUAGUUUGAUGCAACUGAAAAAAUAACUUAACCUUAAAGAAAUUAUCAAUCUUACAGAAAAAUUGUAAAAUGACCCGGAAAAUUAUCAUCAUCACCACCAUCAUCAUCAUCAUCAUUAUUAUUAUUAUUAGUAUUAUUAUUAUUAUUUGGUUGACGUAUCUUGCUUAUUUGGAAGUUAACAUAAAUUAUAUAUUUGGAUGGACUAGAAACUGUGGUUAAGAAAUUCAAGGAGGCACGGUCAAAUUUGGACACCCUAAAGAAGCUGGGAGCAUCCAUUAUCCAUGGAGUUGAUGCAACUGAAAUGAAGGAACAUUCUGAAUUGAGCAAGCGGAAGUUUGAUAGAAUAAUCUUCAACUUCCCCCAUGCUGGCUUUCAUGGAAAGGAAGAAGACGACGAAGUUAUUCGGUGAGCUGCUUUAACCUAGUGAGUCCAAUGGACACGUGUCAGUACAGCGAGUGAAAAAUGGUUAUAUUCCGAGGGAAAUUGAUAUUUAAAGUGAUCCAUAUUUCUUAAUAAUUCAACAUGCAUGUAGUAAUCAAGAGCUUGCUGUGAUAUUUCCGCUUCGCCAAUUCUUAAAAAUUUGGCUCCUACACCUGUUCCAUGAUCUUUCUUCUGGUAAUCGCAGAAUGCAUAUGAGCCUUGUGGAAGGUUUCUUCAGAAAUGCAAGUGGUAUGCUAAGGCCUCAUGGUGAAGUGCAUGUAAGCCACAAGACAACAGCUCCAUUUUGCAAAUGGCAUAUCGAGGAACUCGCUAGGAAACACUCUUUGUUAAGACUCGACUGUGUCCAGUUUAGAAAAGAAGACUACCCAGGUUACAGUAACAAGAAAGGAGCUGGUUCACUGUGCGAUGACUAUUUCCCCUUGGGAAAGUGCAGUACCUUCAAAUUUGGUUUAUAUCGUGCUCGCAAGAGGUCUAAAGUAAUGAGUGAUGGUGGAUUUAUUGUCAAAAGAACUAAGGCUGUUCAAGAGAUUCCGAUCCGAGUGCAGAAGCGUGAAACCGAUCCAUUUGACUGGAAAUGUACUAAUGCAAAGUCAGCCACUGAUAUGAAUGAAUUUCGAGCCUGUGUGAAGUUUGAUGGUAGCGGUGCCGGUUACCCUGUUCGUGAAUAUCCUAGGUUUGACAGUCUCGUACAUCCUCAAACAAGCUUCACCAGAAAUGCGAUUGACCAUCCAGGAUAUAAGAGACUAGCUUUGAUGGGUAAUUCUAGGUUCCAUAAUGGCUGCUUUAAUAGUUCCCACACGACGCUUGGAAGAGCUGUUGACGAUGUGGGCUAUCUUGUUCCCGAAUCAUUAAUUCCAUAUGAAAGAUAUUACGCGGAAGUAGCAGGAUUCCAAAGAGAAAAUGGUAGGAGCUACGAUAAAACAGUGCCUCGAGGAAGAACCUUGUAUCCUGUGGAUGGACGUUGCUAUCAGGAAACUAUGAAACCAGCGCAGCCGUCAUGGAUGAGAUUGGGAUUUAGUUACCAGCUUUAAAGGAGAAGUGGUGCUAUUAUGCUUUUAUGGAAGACUGAACGACCUUUUGUCUUUAGUCGUGAAUUCUAGCUAGUUAAGCAUAUAUAGGCAUCAUAGUGCAAGUAGAAAGCUUUGAUUUGCUUUCACUUUGGUUUGUUUUAAGAACUAAGAAUUUCAGUAAUCUGUUGGUGUGUUGUGUGGUGUUGUCAAUCUCCUAUUUGCAAAGCACUCGAUCUGUUUCCUGUUUAAAGAACUAUAAUUAGAUUUAAUAACAUCGAUGAACUCAUCAACGUACGUAUUCACAGCAAGGAAGAUACUCCUCCAUCUAUUUGUGGUAAUUACUAUGAAGACGGAGUAUAAUCAGUCAACAAUGCUACAAGUUUAUAUGCUUUCAGUAAUUAUUAUCAGCGUUAUUAUGUAAUAUAUGCUUACGUAAGUGGUUGCUGCUGUGAGUUAGCGUAAUCUUUUAUAGAAUCUAUUAUAGUUUUUAUCUAAGAUUUUAAUUUUAGAAUUGUUAUAGGACUGUUGUCAUCAUAUUGUAUAUUCAGUGUUUAAUUGAAAAAAAAAAACUGUGCGCCAAUUUGAUCACCACUGCUAUACGGUUAAUUCGUAUGGAGGAUGAUGCAAUUUUUGCCUUAAUGGGCUUUCAAAUUUUUUAAUCAAACAUAUAUAGUUGAUUAGAGUUGUCCUUAAUUUUAGAUUCAACACACUAGCAACCAUCAAGCAAUUGAUUCUCACAUAUAAUUUAGAAAUAGAACCCAUCGCAAUCUGUCAAUCGGUCAAUUUCAUACAUUCACCAAGUCUUGUAAAUAAAUCAAAAUGCAUAAAACUAUGUGAUUUUGAAGGGUUCACUUCAUCACCCCUUUUUAUAAAACCUCAUUUCAAAUAAAAUUACAUUGAAAUAAGAAUUAAAUAUAUUUGAGAAUUUUUUCAGUAAAUUACUUGCAUUAGUAAUUAAUCCUUUUUUUUUUGUUUUCUACCCCUCACUUCCAUCUAAUCAAAAUUAAUUAAAAAAAAUUAGAAUAAACUAUUUUUCUUAUUUCAAAUUAUAACUGACUUUCAAAAGUUCAUUAGUCAAAAAACUUUUCAAUGUGCUGUGUGGGACAACAAGAUUACAAAAGAAAAAAAAAGAAUUAAAAUAAAAAUAACUGAAAAAAAAAAAGAUUUUAUAAAGUGAUUAGAGGGUCGCCAAUACUCCCAACUCGUGGAAAAAGUUUAUUCAGUUGUGUGUGGGCGUAAAUGUAAAUGGGCUUGCAAAUAAAAAGUCUUAUGAGUGGGCUUUGGGUGUAGGCAAUUAAAACUUGCUAAGCCACGGUAUUUUUCUUCACUUCCAUUCUUAGAUUUGAUGCUUUAAAGCGGUGGGGAUGCGAUGAGAACAUAAUCUUCGCGGUGCGGAUGGCGGACUCCACAAUUUGGCAGAAUAUAAAAUUUUCUAAAGAGAAUAUUUUUAUUUUUUUAAAAGUGAGAAUACUAUUAUAAUAAAAAAUAUAAAUUUUAAUUUAUUGAAAAUUAUUAUUUUUGUUUGUUAAUAUAUUAGAAUUUGUAUUUAUGUAUGCAUGUGUGUGUAUUCCUGAAGCUAAUUCCUCGUAAAGUUUGCUAGGCAUCUAAUCAUAAAAAAAAAAAAAUCUGAUAUUUAAACACGUCUUAGUUAUUUAUUAGUGCCACGUUAGUUUGAAUUCUAAGGGUCGAGUUUGGUAGCAUAUAAUCUCCAUUCCACCGUCUUUGAUAAUUCACUUUCUUAACCAUUUUAGAAAUGUGACCCUUGCUCUUGCUCAAUUAUUACUACGUCUACAUAUGGCCACAAGAUUAGAGUUUGCACAUUUGUUCUUUUUCCAUAAACACACGGUUUCCUCACUUCCAAAUGGACUUCUCUUAAGUUGCAUUAUUAUUAUUUGCACUCUUCUCAAUAUAUAAAACUCAUGAAAUUUUUUAAUGAAGUUUUUCUAAUCAUCACAGUAUUAAUCUUUUUAACUCUCAUUAUUUGUAAUUUCUUUCCCACACAAGAUAUCCUGCAAUUGCAAAUAAUGAGAGGUACUGCCCAGUUUUUUUUAAAAAAGUCCACAGUUAAAAUAAACGACAUGAUCCAUUAUGAAAAAUAAAGUAUUCGAUCUAAAACUCACAACAGAAAAAUAACAACAAUGCUAGCUUGCUCAGGGAAACUUGCCUGAAAUUGCCGGACCGGCCAAUCUUCUAAUUUCUAAACCACCGUUUUGAUUGGGUGGAAUGUUGAAUAACAGGCACUGCAACCAACGUAAUGCACACAAUUUUUUGAAACUAAUCAAAUUUGAUCAAUGACUUAAUUCCAAUGAAAUAAAAUGUAACUGUUGAGGACUUAAAUGAUAUCUUUUGAAAUUCUUGUCUAGCUUUUUAGAUAGAAUCAUCAGGGAAUCAAGUGAAACAAAUCCUCUUGUAGGGCUAGAUUAUUCUUUCAAGUUUCAUCAUGGCUGCUAGCUCUAAGAAUCCACUUUAUUGAAGACGUUGGAAAAGAGGUUCACUGCCAAUAGCUUCCUUAGUAAAACUAAAUCUCUUUCAAACUAUCAGACAUACUACUAGUUCUACAUCAAUGGAGUAAACGAGAAAAAUCUGAGAUAUGGCGGAGACUGUGGUGAAUUUUGUCAUUGAAAAGCUGGGUCCUUUGCUUGCUCAAGAAAUGGUGUUUUUGAGCAUGAGAUCUUUUCUAAAAGAUGCGGAUGCAAGAGCCGCACUAGAAGAUUUUGAAGAAAGAGAGAGUCAAUAGGUAUCAAAACUUGGGUGAAACAAGUGAGGAAAGAAGCCUAAUGUUGAUGCAGAAUCUGGUCGAAACCGUUAGCAUGGGCAGGUCACCAUGUCAACACUUGAAUUUGUUUUGAUGGGAGACGGUACUGUUUGCACUUCCUUCCUCCAAACAGAUCCUUACGCCCACAUUCACUUCCCUCAGGAUUCUCCAACAUUUCUGGAUUCUCCGACGUUCACAGAAACAAUUAAGGGGUGCAGGAUGUUUUUCUGACAUAAACCCUCCGAUACGUCGGUAGUCAGGUCUCUCUGGGAAAAACUUAUACCACAACUUCCAUGGCUUAAUUAAAACUGAAGCCAGAACAAAUAUUUUAAUGAUUCUCAAAAAGAGAUAAAUUCUAAAAAACAGAUUCUAGAGUUAGAGAGGCAGAAUUUCGUUUCAGAGUGGGCAAAAGAACUCACCUCUUUGGGAUUUUACAGGCCUUUUAUAACCCUGUUGCACUAUCGUGGGUACACAAUCAUUGACCAGUCCCUUGCAUCACCGUUCAUGGGUUGGUUAAGUAAUUGUUAAGGGAUAAUGGAUGAAUGUGCGAGGUAGUUGAUGAAUUGAUGGUGCAACCGUUAAUGGAGUGGUAUUAUAAUUGUUGAUAUCGAAAUCUGGUCGAGUUGAUGAUGGCAAUUAGAUUACUUCUUCAACACUUGAAUUUGUUUUGAUGGCGAACUAUCGCUUGCUACUCCAGUAGAGUUUGAAUUGCUAUGAUGCUUUUUGCUUUCUUUUAUUUGCAAUAACAGAAAACUGUCAGGGGGCGCUUGGCGAAAAUCCUCCGACGCUCAAGUUAGUAAUGAAGUUUUCUUGCAAGAAAAAUAAUAAUGUCACGCACUUGUGAUCUUAAGUACUUUCUUUUCAAAUUUCUUAUUCCCCAGAAAAAAAAUCUCCCUUUCAGGAUCUUUUCCGAUUCUUAUAGACAACCGCAAGCAUCUCUUGUUCUUCAAUGCGCUAAUGUUACCAAAUUGAAUGUGCCACUUGAAUUAAGGGUUAAUGUAUCCGUUUCUGUAUAGUUAUUGAGCUAUCGUGUCUGAUGGUGCUUUAAACAUUAUAGCAGGACAUGCUUAGACGUUACGGACGAACUACCAGGUUAAGUUCUACAAUCUGAAAAUUAAACCAAGACCAUAAAAUCGAACGACAUGAUUAUGGUCUCCUCGCAGACUGCUGGUUGUCCUUGCAUAUGUAACCAGAUAACUUUCUCCUCGAUGUUUCACAUCACCCUUAAGACUUUUAUAUUAAGUGGCUACAUUUGUAUACCCCAAACAAUAACUAUUAGUGAAUUGACUUUGUGCUCAGAUUCUGGGGGGGGGGGGGGGGGGGGGGGGGGGGGGGGGGGGGGGGGGGGGGGGGGGGACUUACAGAUGUUUGUGUAAGAAACUUGUGGGACCAAUGUGUUGUUUUUGAGAAUGGCAAAAGUAAGUAUAGGUGGCUCUAAAGUUGGGACUUACAGAUGUUUGUGUUUGAAUUAGUCCCUUUUUUUUUUUUUUGAAAUUGAAGCAAUGGUCUUGGGAGGCUCACUCAUUGUAAUUGAUAUGUUAAACUGAUUAAGGAAGCGUGGAGCAGAAAGUAGACCAAAGUGUUGAAUACUUCUUUAAAAUUGAAAUUUAAGAGAAAUAUUGCUAGAAAUUUCAAUUUUAUUUAUUUAUUUAUUAUGUCAUGGUUUUAUUUAUUCAUAAAAUUGAAAACCACGAUGUUGAGUCUCUUUACAGUAACAGCCAUUUUCACAUUUAGAGUUCUUUUCCUUUAGUUUUAUGAGAUUCAAUGCCCCCUUCACAGUAAAAGAAACUUGUGGCCCUAAAUGAUCGUUAGAAUUUGAGAAUACACAUAUUUUUCAUGUUACUGAGAUUUUUUUUUAUUUCCAUUCUAAAUUAACCAUUAAAAAGAAAUUAAUUUAAGAAAAACCCAUUAAAAAGAAAUUGUAACCGUUGCUCCAUUGUAAAAAUUACGUUCAACAUUUCAAGAAAACAAUCUUAGUUGGAAGAAAUUCCGGAAAAAUAUAGAUGGGUUUUUGAAUUUGAAAUUUAAACUCAAUUAAGGAAACUAUAAAAUAAAAGGAAACACAAAACCAUAUUUGGCCGUGGACCUGACAACAUAUCCCUCCGAUAAUAUCAAUCUUUUUACCAUUCUUCCUAAAACACCCUUCCAAACUUCUCAAACUACAGAAGAUAGACUCACAGACGGUAAUUACAUCAAGGCUAAUUACGUCAUUUUAAAUUCCUGGCUCAAAUCUGGUGGAGUAUUGUCCUCAUCACGAUCGUUUGCCAUGCAAACGUAUAACAAACUCUUCGGCAAUCUCACUACGACUAUGGCAAUACUGGCUGAAGCUGCUGAAAAAGAAGAGGAAAAAUAAAUGGGUUUGACUGGGAAAAAAAAGAAGAAGAAGAAGAGAAAUGAAUAAUGUACUAUUCAUCAAAACAUAAAAUACUGUUAGCGGGCGAAGGAGAUUUCUCUUUUUCUCUUGCUUUAUUUCAGAAAUUUGGCUCUGCUUCUCACAUCUGCGCUUCUUCUCUUGAUUCUUAUGGUACGGUAAUAUAAUCAAUUUUACGGAAAAAGAAAAAUAGAAAAUUGUAAAAUUACCAGGAAAAUUAUUAAAAAGUAUUAUUAUCUGUUGACACAUCUGGUUUAUUUGGAAGUUAAUAUAAACUAUAUUUGGAUGGAUUAGAAACUGUCAUUUAGAAAUUCAAGAAGGCAGAGUCAAACUUGGACACUCUAAAUUAAGAAGCUGGGAGCAUCCCUUAUCCAUGGAGUUGAUGCAACUGAAAUGAGGCGUCAUCCUGAAUUGAGAGAGCGGAGCGUUGAUAGAAUUAUCUUCAAAUUCCCCCAUGCUGGCUUUUCUGGAAAGGAAGACAACAAUCAACUUAUUCAAUGAGCUGCUUUAAAAUACAGUUCCUUGUAGAAAUUUUGUGUUUCUUCUGUAUUGCUUACUAAUCUGAAACUUUCAUUUCUUUUGCAAUGAUCCAGCUAUUCACUGUCAUCGUUUGAUGUUAAUACGGGGAUUAGCAACUCAUGCUUUUGAAGAUUUCAUGGAUAGGAUUGAAACUUAAUUGAAAAUCAUAGUUUCCAAAGGGGAAUUGCUAAAUUGCUGAUGAAGAAAUUAUAGUCUCGUUUAGAUUUAGAUACAAGUUGAAAGCGAAAACCCAGCUUUGAUUUUAAGGGAUCUGGGAUUUGGAUGACUCUUGCAUAUAUAGGAUAUUAUUGUAAUGUUUUGCUUUCAAUGGUUGAUUACUUGUUAGUGAGGAAUUUCAGAGUGACGAAAUAUGCAGAGUCCUGUGGAAACGUGGGUCGAUACACUACAGUGACAUGAAAAUGGUUGAAAAAAAAAAAAAGGGUGAACUUGCUUAAUAAAGUGAUACGUUUUGCUUAAAAAUUCAAUACAUUGUAGUCUAGAGUUCCCUGUGAUAUUUUAAAAACCACUAAUUCUGAAAAUGCUGGCUCGUAUACCUGUUCGAUGAUCUUUCUUCUGGUAAUCGUAGAAUGCAUAUGAGUCUUGCGGAAGGUUUCUUGAAAUGCAAGUGGCAUGCUGAGGCAUAGUUGUGAAGUUCAUGUAACCCACAAAACAACUGCUCCAUUUCGCGACUGGAAUAUCGAGGAACUUGCUCCCAAACACUGUUUGUCAUCAAUGUACCCUGUCAACCUUAAAAAAGAAGACUACCCUGGUUACAACAACAAGAGAGGAGCUGGUUUGAAAUGUCAUGAGCCCUUCCCCUUGGGAGAGUGCAGUACCUUCAUAUUUGGAUUCUAUCGUGCUAGCAAGAGAGUAAUGAGUUAUGGUGGAUUCGCUAACAAAAGACAUCAGCCGGUUCAAGAGAUUCCAAUCCAAGUGCAGAAGGAUGGAACUCCAUUUGACUCGAGAUAUGCUAAUGCAAAGUCAGCCACUGGUAUGAAUGAAUUUCCAGCCUCUUCGAAGUUUGAUGACAGUGGCAUGGGUUACUCUGUUCGUGAAUAUCCUAGGUUUGACAGUUUCAUAUAUCCUCGAACAAGUUUCACUAGAAAUAUGACUGACCAUCCAGCAUAUAAGAGACUAGCUUUGAUGAGUAAUAUACAAAGAGAAAAUGUUAGGUCCCAUAAUGGCCGCUUCAAUAGUUCCAUAAUUCUGUGUGAAAGGUAUAUCGCAGAAGUACCAGGAUUCCAAAGAGAAAAUGCGAGGAGUUUGUAUCCUAUGGAUGGAAGUAAUUUAAAUGAAAGGUGCACCAAGUUGUUUGUGUAGCACACUGUAUGGCUAGAGAGUUUCAUGCUCUUGGUCUUCGCAGUUUUCUUAUUUGUAUGGUUUGGUUUUCUUUAUUUUUUGCCGACAAAUAAACAAAUCAACUUGCAAUAAAAUAAAUAUUAAAAUACACUGAAAAAGCUCAAAUGCCGACAAAUUCCAGGUUGUUCAAAUAAUUAAUUCUAUAGUAAGUAUGAAGAAUAAAAUAAAAGCAAUCAACUUGCAAAUUGCAAAUUCUGCAUUCCUAAACCAAUGUCCAAACGGGGGUAAACAUGUCUGCAAACAUAAACAAUGAUCAAACACUGUUUGCAAAAGCAUCAAUCUGCUUUGUAAAUUAGACCUGCUGGUAUGAUAUGGCGGAGGCUGCGGUGAACUUUGCAAUAGAGACCUUGGGUCCUUUGCUUGUCGAAGAAAUCAGAUUGUGGGGAGGUGUUAGAAAAGAAGUUCAAAGCAUCAAAAGCGAACUGGAGAGUCUCAGAUCUUUCCUCAAAGACGCAGAUGCAAGGGCAGCAGUCAAAGAAUUAGAAGGAGGCGGUGAGGAAAGUGUCAGAACUUGGGCGAAACAACUGAGGGAUGAAGCUUAUCGCAUUGAAGAUGUGAUCGAU